UCUGUGUCUAGAAAAUAAGAAAAUUGUGUUUUUUUUGUGGUGGGGGUUGUUUGUGGUUUGAGAGAUUUUUUUUUAAAUUUUCACAGUGAAAGCAGCUACUUAAUCCAAAAAACAAAAUAUCUAUGAUACAUACCUACAUCUAGGGAGCAAGAAAAUCCUGUUGUUUUCAUCCAAACCACAGCUUUUAAAAAGCAAGACAAAACUUUAGGUGACAAAUGUAUCAUAAGUAUCAUAAUUCCUACCUUAGCACUGCCUGAGUAAGACUUCACAGGAAGUUUAGAAAGAUAAUCCAGAACUUCAAGACUAAAACUGUACCAGAAGAAAUUAGAUCUGUUGAUAUAUAUGUAUUUUAAAUCAACUACAAUUAUUCAUUUAUGUCCGUUCCCAUUUGAAAUAGCUGCACUGAGCACCUGAGUGGCUCUGGAGUGAAUAUGUGUAAGAUCUUAGAAGAGGCCACAUGUGUUUGUUCCUGACUCAGGCCCUCAGUGGCUGAGCUGAAAUAGAUGGCCUUCCAUGGUGAUUUUGAACAAAACAGUUUUGAAUUGUUUUAAUCCAAGUCAUAUAUUGUGAACUUUCCACCCAAGGUAGACCAUUGCUUGCGGACGUAAGAAACAUUGAUAUUGAAGUGCAAAUUAAUGGGGCAGAUACAAAUAAUAAUUUUGCAAGUGUGUCUCCUGAUUUAUCAGAUUCAUAAUUUGCAUUCAUCUCACCAAUUUUCUUAUUUAGCUUAUUUCUUAGUUAUUUCUUGUAUUUCAAAAACAUAGGAGAGUACAAAAGUACUGUAUUCAUUUUAGUCUUUCAUUUAUUGAAAAACUAUUCUAUCCUUGCCCAGAAUGUGUUAUUUGGAUUUGCAAGAACUGGAAAGUAGCCUUAGCAUUUUUUAUCUUUUCAUUUACAAAUAAAAAUCAAGAAAUUAUUUUAAAAAUGAAUUUAAGUGCAAAAUGCAAGAAUUACAAAUACUAGCUCACUGAAUCAUUUUUUCAUACCCUAACACAUAUUUCAACUCAGUGUAAAUUUUAACAUACAGUCAAUCCUUAAUUCAAACAUAACAAAGCAAGUAAUCUUUAAAUUAAUUUGCCAAAAAUAUUAAUAUUCUGCGUGAAUAUUUAAUAUUGAAUACUUCUUUAAAAUAUUUCUUUAAAAUAUUCUACAUAAAUAUUUUUUAAAAAUAAAUUUAAACAUACUAUUUGGCUAUUUGUAAAUAAUUUUUUUUAAUAUUAGAAGGUAUCUUUUUAUUACACAGAAACUCAAAUCAAGAAAUAAUUUUUAAAUCCCUAAAAAGGGGGCAAAAUAUAUUUGUAAAUAUCUCUCCUUAAAGGAAGACAAUUCACUUUAGGAAGGUAGAAGAAAUGAAACCCUGUGGAAACUGCUGCAGGGUAAGCUUCUCACACAGUAAGGAGGCAGGGCUAAAUCCUAAACUCAAGAGUUCAGAUUCUAUUUCCUUAAGACCUUUGUGGUUUUAUAGUCUGGCCAAUUUACACAAAGAGGAAAACAGAAAACAAAGGUAGUCAUUGCCCUAAACAUUACUUGUGAAAAUUUAGAGCCACAUUUUUUCACCUUGGGUAGGAAGAAAAAAAAAGAAGAGGAAGAAAGAGACAGAGGGAAAUAGAAAGCAAGCAAGCAAAGGAGCUUAUUUAUCUCCAGAAAAUUCAUUAUUUUCCCAAUGGUGGGUAAGCUGGAACAGGAAGGCAACACCAGUUUUAUUUUGGAUGAUAAAUGUUAUCUUGUGCAAUUUCACAUAUAAGGUGUGUUCCUUCUCCUGCCUACUAAGUUAAGGCAUGUGGGCGUCUGAACAUUUGGCUUAGAGCUAAAAAUGCCACGCCGAGAUUUGUCUUUGCUCUAUAGGACUCAAACUGGCAGAAGAACAUAAACAUGGUAUGUAAAACUUGGUGUUCCUGCUCCUCCUUUAAGACUUAAAACAAACAGACUGGAAUCCUACAGCUGUGGAUGACUCAGAUCCACAAAGGAGACAACUUCAAAAGCAGCCUCUCUAGUCUCCCUUUCAUCCUAUCAGUAGCGAAUUGAUUAGACUGCUCUCCCAUUAUCCAAAGCAUUCCACACUCUGUGGGCCUCACACAACCUUUGUGUGCUAGAGAAGCUGAGGCUCCCACACAAAGAAAAAGAGAGAAAGGUCACCCAGGACUGGCAGUAGUUUGCCUGAGAAAAACAAUGACCUCCUCCACUAAUACCAGGAAGACCUUUCCAGGAAGCCAAUGCCAAGGAAAGGAGAAAGUAUUCACAGAUGAAGAGGUACAUACAUCAUGUGACACUUCCCCAGAUUGCUUCAUCCAAGUCUGUUGCUAAUCCCUCCAUCCUCUCCUCCAAGCACCCACCAGAAUGCAUGUCCCAGUACACCAGGAACAACUUCUGGCACACUAUAAAGAAUGAUUCCAGUUGUGAGCAGAAGAUACCAGGGCUUUUCACACAGAAAGCCUGAUUGGAGAGACAAACAGUAUUCACAACCUUCCUGGAAAGGAAUCAGAAGGAGAAACUACUCCCCAGCAAGCAUGGACCAUUUCUAACAAAAAAGAGAAAGUGACUCAAGUCAUGAAGCUAAAAGCCCAGAUGAAGGAGCCAAGAGCCACAGAAACCCACUCCCAGGAACUCAAAUGGCAACCUAGUUCACAGAUUUUCCAAUUGAAAGAAACCAUAUUUGUCUCAUCCUUACCUGGAACCGAUUGGAAUAUCAAGAUUCUACACCUCAAGCCUGAGCCUAAUCCCAGAAUGGGCUGAGACACUGAGACAUCUUGGGAAGGUGGAAGUAUAUUCUCCAGUUGUUAAGAACGUGGAUUAUGGUGAGUAUACUAGAUGAAGAGAGGGCAAUUAGGAACCAUUACAAUGCUCCAGUAAAAAGUAUGUAUUAUUACCUACAUUAGGAAAAUGUCAGUUGACCUACAGAGAAGUGGAGAGAUUCAAGAUAUAUAUACAAGGUAGAAUGGGCAAGUUUUGAAGGCUGAUUGGAUGUCAGGGUUGAGAGAAAGGCAACAUUUUUGAACGAUGCAACUUUAAAGUUUAUAUCUUACACAACUGAGUGGAUAGUGAUCCCAAUUCACUAUAAAACAUGGGCAAAACAGGAGGUUCAUUGCGGAGAAUGAGAGUUCACUUUUAGACACUGAAUUUAAGGUGCUUAUGGAGCAUUCAAACAGAAAUAUCCAGAGUAUGGUUACAUAUACUGGUUUAAAGCUCAGGAGAGAUCUGAGUGAAAGAUACAAAUUUUAGGCUAUCUGUAAUAACUAAAACAAUGAAAAUGGAUGAUAGAGGCUAGUGGUAAUGUGUAGCAUGCUAAAAGAAUAAAGCCUAGAGUUGAAUCCUGAUAAACACCAGAACUUAAGAGUAACGCAGAGAAAUAGAAGGCAACAGAGAAUAAAAAUAAGCAGUCACAAAGUAAGUGCAAAGUUGUAAGACUGCAGUGACAGGAAAGGUAAAAGUGUUCUGUGAAAGCAAAAGUGGUAAGCUCUGCUUGCUCCCUGAGAAGCAGGAGGAGAUAUGAAUUAGGACAAGGCUAGAGGAACAGAACUAACUAGGAGGAGAAAUAAUUGUCCAUGGUAGUAAGAGGUAUGAGAGAGUUAUGGGUAAAUUUAUCUGAUACUUUCAACUUUCCCCCUUCAACAAGUAUUAAAGUAAAUAGAAAUGGAAACCAGGACUGAAAAACUCCUGAGCAAUCAAAUCUAGUCAGGCCUCUUAAGCGACUUUAACCUUGCUCAAUAUGCAAACAUAAGUGAAACUUAACUUGAGCUAUUUAUUGUGAAUGCAUACAUUAAAGAAAAACAGAAAUUAAGCUCAAUCAAUUGGAAGCAGCCAACAGACUUAUAAUUAUAUAACUCAGGACUAUCCAAUAGUAUAUACCAAAUAAGGCAACUGUAUAGCUAUAGCCAAUCAAGUAUCUUCUUUGCUUUACUUCUGUGUUCAUUUCAUAAAAACCUCCCUCUUGCAUUUUCCUGGUGGAUCUCCUGAACCACUUCUUGUCUGGAACUUCCCAAUUCAUGAAUCAUUGUUUGCUCAAAUAAACUCUAUAAAAAAAAUUACUGUGCCUCAGUUUACCUUUUUAACAAGGGG
rnacentral:lncRNA from 1 species